rnacentral:rRNA from 1 species
UACAGAGGUCUCAAGCGUUGUUCGGAUUCAUUGGGCGUAAAGGGUGCGUAGGUGGCGCUGUAAGUCGGGUGUGAAAUUUCGGAGCUUAACUCCGAAACUGCAUUCGAUACUGCGGUGCUUGAGGACUGGAGAGGAGACUGGAAUUCAUGGUGUAGCAGUGAAAUGCGUAGAGAUCAUGAGGAAGACCAGUGGCGAAGGCGGGUCUCUGGACAGUUCCUGACACUGAGCACGAAGGCCAGGGGAGCAAACGGGG